rnacentral:rRNA from 1 species
AUACGGAGGGUGCAAGCGUUAUUCGGAUUUAUUGGGCGUAAAGGGCGCGUAGGCGGCUUGGUAAGUCAGAUGUGAAAGCCCGGGGCUCAACCCCGGAAGUGCAUUUGAAACUAUCAGGCUUGAGUAUGGGAGAGGGAAGUGGAAUUCCUGGUGUAGAGGUGAAAUUCGUAGAUAUCAGGAGGAACACCGGUGGCGAAGGCGACUUCCUGGACCAAUACUGACGCUGAGGCGCGAAGGCGUGGGGAGCAAACAGGAUUAGAUACCCCGGUAGUCC